CCUACGGGAGGCAGCAGUGGGGAAUCUUGCACAAUGGGGGAAACCCUGAUGCAGCGACGCCGCGUGAGUGAAGAAGUAUUUCGGUAUGUAAAGCUCUAUCAGCAGGGAAGAAAAAAGACGGUACCUGACUAAGAAGCCCCGGCUAACUACGUGCCAGCAGCCGCGGUAAUACGUAGGGGGCAAGCGUUAUCCGGAUUUACUGGGUGUAAAGGGAGCGUAGGCGGCUGUGCAAGUCUGAAGUGAAAGGCCAGGGCUCAACCCUGGGACUGCUUUGGAAACUGUGGAGCUAGAGUGCUGGAGAGGUAAGUGGAAUUCCUAGUGUAGCGGUGAAAUGCGUAGAUAUUAGGAGGAACACCAGUGGCGAAGGCGGCUUACUGGACAGUAACUGACGUUGAGGCUCGAAAGCGUGGGGAGCAAACAGGAUUAGAUACCCUGGUAGUC
rnacentral:rRNA from 1 species